AAAAUUAUUGCCUUUGGAACAUAGUCUGUAGAACACCUGAAAUACAAUUAGAAGCAUAGAUUUCUGGCUCACAUUCCAGAACUCCUCUACCACAAUCUGUAGUAACACAGGUCAGAUUCCCCAUUUGGAACACUCAGAUCAUUCUUGGGAACUACUGGCCCACAAUACCAGCUCUCAGCAAUCUGACUCCAGAAGGAAGAGGCACCGGGCCAACACCUACUACCCAGAUGCGAUCACCGAGGGAGGCUGCCUCGCGGCUUUCUGGAGUCCAUCCGGGCACAGUCCCUGGACUCUGGGAAUCCCUGAGACCAAACCCACCCUUCAGAAACUAGGAAUUCCUCCCCAACCCCCAC